rnacentral:rRNA from 2 species
CGGAGCGCUAGCUUCGGUGGAGGCGUUGGUGGGAUACUACCCUGGCUGUAUUGAAAUUCUAACCCGCGCCCCUUAUCGGGGUGGGAGACAGUGUCAGGUGGGCAGUUUGACUGGGGCGGUCGCCUCCUAAAGAGUAACGGAGGCGCCCAAAGGUUCCCUCAGAAUGGUUGGAAAUCAUUCGUAGAGUGUAAAGGCACAAGGGAGCUUGACUGCGAGACCUACAAGUCGAGCAGGGACGAAAGUCGGGCUUAGUGAUCCGGUGGUUCCGCAUGGAAGGGCCAUCGCUCAACGGAUAAAAGCUACCCCGGGGAUAACAGGCUUAUCUCCCCCAAGAGUCCACAUCGACGGGGAGGUUUGGCACCUCGAUGUCGGCUCAUCGCAUCCUGGGGCUGUAGUCGGUCCCAAGGGUUGGGCUGUUCGCCCAUUAAAGCGGUACGCGAGCUGGGUUCAGAACGUCGUGAGACAGUUCGGUCCCUAUCCGUCGCGGGCGCAGGAAAUUUGAGAGGAGCUGUCCUUAGUACGAGAGGACCGGGAUGGACGCACCGCUGGUGUACCAGUUGUCUUGCCAAAGGCAUAGCUGGGUAGCUACGUGCGGACGGGAUAAGUGCUGAAAGCAUCUAAGCAUGAAGCCCCCCUCAAGAUGAGAUUUCCCAUGGCGCAAGCUAGUAAGAUCCCUGAAAGAUGAUCAGGUUGAUAGGUCAGAGGUGGAAGCGUGGCGACAUGUGGAGCUGACUGAUACUAAUAGAUCGAGGACUUAACCAAC